rnacentral:lncRNA from 1 species
AUGGGAAGCAGCGAGGAAGUCAGGAGGGGCAGAAGGUCCUCAGCCCUUGUCUACCCUUCCAGGAGGGGGAGACUGGUGGGGGGUGUGGUAGAGGGGUGCUGGGCAGAGGUUCUGGAGUUGUGGGAAAGGGGUAACCUAGCAACCACUGAGCUCACUGUCACAAAGCAGGCAGACUUGCACACAGAACCCACAGCCUUCCCCUCAAUUUGUCCUCUUGCUCCUUCCUGCUGGGACAGCAGGGCUUCUCGCACACAUGCUGUAGCGGGCACUGCCUUGGCAGGAGGAUUUGGGGCUUCCAGAUACCCUGUUCUCAAGAUUGUAGCAUCUAAGUACUCUAGAGCCCAGUCCCUGACAUCAAGGAUGUCUGGAGCUUCCUUUUAAGGAGAGAAAAGAUCAGCAAACUGUGAGUCAGACUGCCCGGGCUCUGGUUCCUUCUGUGUGACCUCAGCAAGUCUCCCCUGCUUCCCCCAUCUCAGACAACACCAACCCAUCCCACUACCUGACGAAGGCUGGCAUUGGGAGAUCUCCGGGGUCCCUUGCAGAUUCUGUGACUCUGAGGGUUAAUUCUCAGAAUGCACUAAUGUCCUGUCCCAACCUCAUCCCUAGCACUUUGGCUAGAUAUAUAUAUUCAGGUCCAUAGAUUUAAUCACAAUUCUUGGUUUUGACACCUAUCAUCUUUCAUCUAUGUCAUUUAAUUAGUUUAUUUAAUAAUAUAAUAAACACAAGCAAAUACACCACCCAAACCAAAAACAAGAACAUGACCACUAACACAUCUCCUUACAUGCGCUUCUCCUGCACACCUCCCCUCCCCGCCUUCCCUUGGAAAUAGCCACUGUGUGAAUUUCGUGCUUAGCAUUUCCUUGUUUGAUACUGUUGUUGCUGUUUUAUCGCAUGUUCAUGAUCAUUUUGCUUUGCUUUUAAACUUUUAUUUUUAGAAAGGAUCUCAGGCUAUGUGGUCCUCUGGAACUUGUGGUCCUCCAGAACACACAUAAACUAAACCACUUAUGAAAGAGAAAUAAUAUGUUUUUAAACACAUCAUUUAUACAGUUUAGCAGUUACUUUAUAUUAUCCACACAUUAUA